CAGGAGGAUGCAGGAGCAGUCCCGAAAUGUGAAAAGAUAAAAUAAGCAAUGGCUCACUGACAAACAUAACAGGCAUAUUAAUUACACAUAAAAUCACUGAUUUAUUAUGUGAAUCAUGACAGAAA